GUCCUUUUGUAGUCCAUAAGGGUGAUGAUUGGGUUUUCACGCUCAUGUGUGAGACGUGUCUCCCUCAGACCUUGUUAUGAUGUUGGCACCUUGCCCAUCUGAUG
ensembl:snoRNA